AACGAACGCUGGCGGCAGGCUUAACACAUGCAAGUCGAGCGCCCCGCAAGGGGAGCGGCAGACGGGUGAGUAACGCGUGGGAAUCUACCCAUCUCUACGGAAUAACGCAUGGAAACGUGUGCUAAUACCGUAUACGUCCUUCGGGAGAAAGAUUUAUCGGAGGUGGAUGGGCCCGCGUUGGAUUAGCUAGUUGGUGGGGUAAAGGCCUACCAAGGCGACGAUCCAUAGCUGGUCUGAGAUGAUGAUCAGCCACACUGGGACUGAGACAAGGCCCAGACUCCUACGGGAGGCAGCAGUGGGGAAUAUUGGACAAUGGGCGCAAGCCUGAUCCAGCCAUGCCGCGUGAGUGAUGAAGGCCCUAGGGUUGUAAAGCUCUUUCACCGGUGAAGAUAAUGACGGUAACCGGAGAAGAAGCCCCGGCUAACUUCGUGCCAGCAGCCGCCGUAACAC
rnacentral:rRNA from 1 species